AAAUUGAAGAGUUUGAUCAUGGCUCAGAUUGAACGCUGGCGGCAGGCCUAACACAUGCAAGUCGAACGGUAGCACAGAGAGCUUGCUCUCGGGUGACGAGUGGCGGACGGGUGAGUAAUGUCUGGGAAACUGCCUGAUGGAGGGGGAUAACUACUGGAAACGGUGGCUAAUACCGCAUAACGUCGCAAGACCAAAGAGGGGGACCUUCGGGCCUCUUGCCAUCAGAUGUGCCCAGAUGGGAUUAGCUAGUUGGUGAGGUAACGGCUCACCAAGGCGACGAUCCCUAGCUGGUCUGAGAGGAUGACCAGCCACACUGGAACUGAGACACGGUCCAGACUCCUACGGGAGGCAGCAGUGGGGAAUAUUGCACAAUGGGCGCAAGCCUGAUGCAGCCAUGCCGCGUGUAUGAAGAAGGCCUUCGGGUUGUAAAGUACUUUCAGCGGGGAGGAAGGUGUUGUGGUUAAUAACCACAGCAAUUGACGUUACCCGCAGAAGAAGCACCGGCUA
rnacentral:rRNA from 1 species